AUGGCAGGUCAGCAUACUGCCGCGAAUACGUUCCCGGGCCUUGUACACACCGCCCGUCACACCAUGAGAGUUGGGAAUACCCGAAGCCUGUGAGCCAACCGUAAGGGGGCAGCAGUCGAAGGUAGAAUCAAUGAUUGGGGUGAAGUCGUAACAAGGUAAC
rnacentral:rRNA from 1 species